rnacentral:rRNA from 1 species
GCAAGCUCGAGGGGUAACAGGUAGCUUGCUAUGCUGACGACCGGCGCACGGGUGCGUAACGCGUAUAGAACCUACCUUAUAGUAAGGGAUAGCCCAGAGAAAUUUGGAUUAAUACCUUAUAGUAUUGGACUGUGGCAUCGCAGACUAAUUAAAGAUUUAUUGCUAUAAGAUGGCUAUGCGUUCUAUUAGCUAGUUGGUAUGGUAACGGCAUACCAAGGCUACGAUAGAUAGGGGUCCUGAGAGGGAGAUCCCCCACACUGGUACUGAGACACGGACCAGACUCCUACGGGAGGCAGCAGUGAGGAAUAUUGGACAAUGGAGGCAACUCUGAUCCAGCCAUGCCGCGUGUAGGAAGACUGCCCUAUGGGUUGUAAACUACUUUUAUAGAGGAAGAAACGACAUUACGUGUAAUGUUUUGACGGUACUCUACGAAUAAGGAUCGGCUAACUCCGUGCCAGCAGCCGCGGUAAUACGGAGGAUCCAAGCGUUAUCCGGAAUCAUUGGGUUUAAAGGGUCCGUAGGCGGGUUUGUAAGUCAGUGGUGAAAGUUUUCGGCUCAACCGGAAAAUUGCCAUUGAUACUGCAAGUCUUGAAUCAUUGUGAAGUGGUUAGAAUGUGUAGUGUAGCGGUGAAAUGCAUAGAUAUUACACAGAAUACCGAUUGCGAA